UACGUAGGUGGCAAGCGUUGUCCGGAAUUAUUGGGCGUAAAGCGCGCGCAGGCGGUCUUUUAAGUCUGAUGUGAAAGCCCCCGGCUCAACCGGGGAGGGCCAUUGGAAACUGGGAGACUUGAGUACAGAAGAGGAGAGUGGAAUUCCACGUGUAGCGGUGAAAUGCGUAGAGAUGUGGAGGAACACCAGUGGCGAAGGCGACUCUCUGGUCUGUAACUGACGCUGAGGCGCGAAAGAGUGGGGAGCAAACAGG
rnacentral:rRNA from 1 species